rnacentral:rRNA from 1 species
GAUAAACGCUGGCGGCGUGCCUAACACAUGCAAGUCGAACGCCCUUUUGCGCAAGUGAGAGGGAGUGGCGGACGGGUGAGUACCACGUGGGUACCUACCUUGAGGUGAGGAAUACCACCGAGAAAUCGGUGACAAGACCGCAUACGCUCGGGCAACCGAGCAAAGUCAUGCAAAUGACGCCACAAGAUGAGCCUGCGCCUGAUUAGCUGGUUGGUGAGGUAACAGCUCACCAAGGCGACGAUCAGUAGCUGGUCUGAGAGGAUGAUCAGCCACACUGGGAUUGAGAACGGCCCAGACUCCUACGGGGGNG